AAAUAGAUACCCCGGGGUAGUCCAUGCCGUAAACGUUGGGCACUAGGUGUGGGGCUCAUUCCACGAGUUCCGUGCCGCAGCAAACGCAUUAAGUGCCCCGCCUGGGGAGUACGGCCGCAAGGCUAAAACUCAAAGGAAUUGACGGGGGCCCGCACAAGCGGCGGAGCAUGCGGAUUAAUUCGAUGCAACGCGAAGAACCUUACCAAGGCUUGACAUGCACGGGAAGCCACCAGAGAUGGUGGUCUCUUUGGACACUCGUGCACAGGUGGUGCAUGGUUGUCGUCAGCUCGUGUCGUGAGAUGUUGGGUUAAGUCCCGCAACGAGCGCAACCCUCGUCCCAUGUUGCCAGCGGGUUAUGCCGGGGACUCAUGGGAGACUGCCGGGGUCAACUCGGAGGAAGGUGGGGAUGACGUCAAAUCAUCAUGCCCCUUAUGUCUGGGCUUCACGCAUGCUACAAUGGCCGGUACAAAGGGCUGCGAUACCGUAAGGUGGAGCGAAUCCCGAAAAAGCCGGUCUACGAGUUCGGAUUGGGGUCUGACC
rnacentral:rRNA from 1 species